CAAUAGCGUAUAUUAAAGUUGUUGCAGUUAAAAAGCUCGUAGUUGGAUUUCUGGUAGGAGUGACCGUUCCGAACUUGAUUGUUCGUGUAUUGUGUUUUCUCCAGCCAUCCUUGUGGAGAACUUUUCUUGCAUUAAUUUGUAGGGAUUGGGACCCGCAUCGUAUACUGUGAAAAAAUUAGAGUGUUUAAAGCAGGCAAUCGCUUGAAUACAUUAGCAUGGAAUAAUAAGAUAGGACUUUGGUACUAUUUUGUUGGUUUGCAUACCAAAUUAAUGAUCAACAGGAACAGUUUGAGGAUAUUCGUAUGAACAUGUCAGAGGUGAAAUUCUUGGAUUUUGAUCAGACGAACUACUGCGAAAGCAUUUAUCAAGGAUGUUUUCAUUAA
rnacentral:rRNA from 1 species